GUUCUAUUUUUUUAUAAAUCUUACAAACCGGAAGAGUAAAAGCUCCUCAUCAAGGAACAAAAUCAUUUGAUCUUAACUCCCCAUCCAUGAACUGAUAAGAUCAAAGAAAAUCCCUAGAACCACCAGUAAACCAAAUCGUUCUACUCAUGUAGCAGAUAUGUAUUCAAGGUCUUCUUCUUCUUUGAAGUGUUUUGUAGUGAGCAACAUAUUUCAAUGGGUCGGGUAGUGAUGAGAAUAGAGUUGAUAUUAUUAAUUCUAAGUUGGGUCAUUCUCAGGUACCAUGAAAAGAAACUGAAAGUGUUUUUUUUUCUUUUGAGGAGCCGCGGUUGGAUCAAUUUCAUGAUUUGUUCUAUUUGAUUCAUAUUUAUGGGUUGAUGUUCUUGCUAGCCUUGUAUGUUGAAGACUAGUUAGAGAAAGAGUUGGCCCAGCCAUACUUUAUCACUCUUACAUGGUGCAGAUGAAACAGGACAUGCUGCUGCACCAUAGGUGUUACUAAGUUGUUUAUCUUUGAAACCUAUUCCGGUGGUGAAAUUGUUUGAUGGAAGAGGAGAUGUUGAAGAUCAGAACUCUGAUGAUUAUCCACUGGUUUUUAUUUAGAUCCCUAGCU